GCAGGGGUGGCUCAGUCGGUUGAGCAUCUGACUUUGGCUCAGAUUAUGAUCUCGAGGUGAGUUCAAGCCCCACAUCGGGCU
rnacentral:tRNA from 1 species